rnacentral:piRNA from 1 species
UCUUUCAGUCGUCUGCUGACCUCAGGCAA